UCCGUUUUAUCAACGGCAGUCUCAACCGAGUGCCCGACCGAAUCGCUGGCAACAGUUGACAAGGGUUGCGCUCGUUGCGGGACUUAACCCAACAUCUCACGACACGAGCUGACGACAGCCACGCAGCACCGUCUCACCGAUUCCCCGAAGGGCACCCCUCCAUCUCUGGAAGGUUCCGGUGGAUUUAACCCAGGUAAGGUUCUGCGCGUUGCGUCGAAUUGAACCACAUGCUCCACCGCUUGUGCGGGCCCCCGUCAAUUCCUUUGAGUUUUAGCCUUGCGGCCGUACUCCCCAGGCGGAGUGCUUAACGCGUUAGCUGCGCCACCAACAAGCAUGCUUGCUGACGGCUAGCAUCCAUCGUUUAAGGCGUGGACUAC
rnacentral:misc_RNA from 1 species